UUUUUCUUCUUCUUUUUCUUGAGACAGAGUCUUGCUCUGUCGCUCAUGCUGGAGUGCAGUGGCAAGAUCUCAGUUCACUGCAAAUUCCAUCUCCCAGAUUCAAGUGAUUCUCCUGCCUCAGCCUCCCAUGAAGCUGGGAUUACAGACAGCCGCCACCACGUCCGGCUAAUUUUUGUAUUUUUAGUAGAGAUGAGGUUUUGCCAUGUUGGCCAGGCUGGUCUCGAACUCCUGACCUCAAGUGAUCCACCUGCUUGGCCUCCCAAAGUGCUAGGAUUACAGGUGUGAGCCACUGCUUCCAGCCAAGGAUUCAGUAAUUUUCAUAAGAAAAGAAACCAACAGUCAGCUGACUCUUAUCCUGAAAGUUAUCUAGAAAUUCUAAACUACUAUUUUUUUUCCCCCUGGAUAAAGUUGGGUUUUUAGUAAACUGAUGAUUUUUUAGUAAACUUCCCUGGAGUAACCAACUGAGUCAGUGCCUUUAUUAGUAACAAAUACAUGUGAUCCCUAAAUUCUCACCUGUAGGAUCUAAUCUCAAAGGCUUGGGCCCCGAGACUAUGCAACUUUAAAAAUUGGUUAGGUACCAAGUUGAUCACAAAAUGGGAUUAUCUUUCUAAGUAAAUAUUUGCCAAAAACUAGUUAAUCAUAAAGAUAUCCCCCGUCCCUUGUGUGCUGUUCUUUACUCUAAGGCUGGAGCCAUGUAGACACUGGGGCAUUUUUGUUAAGUGAUAGCUCCUGUCCCCAGGUUCCUUACUGUCCACACCAUUAUAGAUUAUUCAUACAACUUGAUGAUUUGCCUUGAUGUUUUCUCUCCUUUCCUCCUAUCCCUUCUUUCUCUUUGUUUUACACUCUUUGUUGCGGUGAUGAGUUCCUUCCAGAGGAAAAACAAGAAAUCCAGAAAAGCUGCCUCCUGGAUUGUAAUUCUGGUCCCCAUCUAAGGCCAGGAUCAUCAGCCACCUGAAAAAUAAUAACGUUCACCCUGAGAGCAAGGGAAGAGAGAGACUUUUCUCAGGAUAAAAGGAAAUCCAGACAACCAACACUGCAGAGAACAGAGCCUGAUCCCCUAAGCAACCUGCCGAGAACCAGAGGGACCAAAUGAGGAACCUUACUGCAGUUUAUCAUUUGAAAUGCUUUGUAGGAAGAGGGAGGUGAGCCUGGCAUUUGCUAGGAACCAGAGUGGAACCGGCAAAGUGGCCAGCAACAGAGUCCUGAUCCAAAUGGAGAAAGGGAACCAGGCGUACCUCAACCUGGAGUGGGAAACUUGAUAGGAGUUUGAAUCAGCUUGGGUACUGACAAAUAUUGCUUCAGGAAAUUCUCUUCAGACCCGGAUUGUGAUUCAGGCAGGAGCUGUGCCCAUCUUCAUAGAGUUGCUCAGCUCAGAGUUUGAAGAUGUCCAGGAACAGGCAGUCUGGGCUCUUGGCAACAUUGCUGGAGAUAGUACCAUGUGCAGGGACUAUGUCUUAGACUGCAAUAUCCUUCCCCCUCUUUUGCAGUUAUUUUCAAAGCAAAACCGCCUGACCAUGACCCGGAAUGCAGUAUGGGCUUUGUCUAAUCUCUGUAGAGGGAAAAGUCCACCUCCAGAAUUUGCAAAGGUUUCUCCAUGUCUGAAUGUGCUUUCCUGGUUGCUGUUUGUCAGUGACACUGACGUACUGGCUGAUGCCUGCUGGGCCCUCUCAUAUCUGUCAGAUGGACCCAAUGAUAAAAUUCAAGCAGUCAUCGAUGCGGGAGUAUGUAGGAGACUUGUGGAACUGCUGAUGCAUAAUGAUUAUAAAGUGGUUUCUCCUGCUUUGCGAGCUGUGGGAAACAUUGUCACAGGGGAUGAUAUUCAGACACAGGUAAUUCUGAAUUGCUCAGCUCUGCAGAGUUUAUUGCAUUUGCUGAGUAGCCCAAAGGAAUCUAUCAAAAAGGAAGCAUGUUGGACGAUAUCUAAUAUUACAGCUGGAAAUAGGGCACAGAUCCAGACUGUGAUAGAUGCCAACAUUUUCCCAGCCCUCAUUAGUAUUUUACAAACUGCUGAAUUUCGGACAAGAAAAGAAGCAGCUUGGGCCAUCACAAAUGCAACUUCUGGAGGAUCAGCUGAACAGAUCAAGUACCUAGUAGAACUGGGUUGUAUCAAGCCCCUCUGUGAUCUCCUUACGGUCAUGGACUCUAAGAUUGUACAGGUUGCCCUAAAUGGCUUGGAAAAUAUCCUGAGGCUUGGAGAACAGGAAGCCAAAAGGAAUGGCACUGGCAUUAACCCUUACUGUGCUUUGAUUGAAGAAGCUUAUGGUCUGGAUAAAAUUGAGUUCUUACAGAGUCAUGAAAACCAGGAGAUCUACCAAAAGGCUUUUGAUCUUAUUGAGCAUUACUUCGGGACUGAAGAUGAAGACAGCAGCAUUGCACCCCAGGUUGACCUUAACCAGCAGCAGUACAUCUUCCAACAGUGUGAGGCUCCUAUGGAAGGUUUCCAGCUUUGAAGCAAUACUCUGCUUUCACGUUCCUGUGUCAGACCAGGCUACCCAGUUGAGUCCUCUUGUGGAGCCCACAGUCCUCAUGGAGCUAACUUCUCAAAUGUUUUCCAUAAUACUGUUUGCGCUCAUUUGCUUGCCUCGCGCACCUGCUCUCUUAUACACAUCUGGAAAACCUCCGGCUCUCUGUGGUGGAAUACCCUUCUAAUAAAAGGGUAACCAGAACGGCCCACUCUCUUUACGGAAAAAUCCCUAGGCUUUGGAGAUCCGCACUUACAUUAGAGUUAUGGGAAUAUACACAUAUUAAUGUGACUCCCUUUUUCUUGUGGGGGAAUAAAAGAGGACUCCUCCUCAUUCCCUUUAACAUGGGGGAAAAAACUGACAUUAAAAGAUGAGACUAAAUCUUUAUCUUGAAUUUUACACAACUACUUACGACAAGGGAGAUGUUUAGACCUGUUGUGUAUACUUCAGAGUACUUUUCAUGAGUUCUUCCACAGUGAACCCUUGGAUUACCUGGUGGCUUUUUCUAGCCAAAUUUGCAUUAAUCCUUACUGAGAUUGGAUGGUUUUCUUUCCUCUAUUGGCGCCAUUCUUCAGAUAUUAAAGUUAAACCAUCCACUCCCUCACCUUCAGCCUUCAGUGAAUGUGCUUUCUAGUUGUCAGGAAUGCUGAAGAAUUAACACUUUGACUCCUAAAUGUGAUACUGGUUUGUAGAUUCCCUUAGAGCAGAAAGGAGAGGGGCACAUAUUAAUUUGUAUCGCUUUUGCUUCUCUUUGGUCUUUUGUAUCUUAGAAUUUGGAAGUGGUUCAUUUCUGUUGCUGGUAUGAGGAUUUCGAAUACUUAGUAAUCGAAAACCAUAUCCUGUAAUUUAAUUAAAAAAACUAAGGAAG
rnacentral:sRNA from 1 species